rnacentral:rRNA from 1 species
AUACGGAGGGGGUUAGCGUUGUUCGGAAUUACUGGGCGUAAAGCGCACGUAGGCGGACUGGAAAGUUGGGGGUGAAAUCCCGGGGCUCAACCCCGGAACUGCCUCCAAAACUUCCAAUCUAGAGAUCGAGAGAGGUGAGUGGAAUUCCAAGUGUAGAGGUGAAAUUCGUAGAUAUUUGGAGGAACACCAGUGGCGAAGGCGGCUCACUGGCUCGAUACUGACGCUGAGGUACGAAAGCGUGGGUAGCAAACGGGAUUAGAUACCCCAGUAGUCC